GAGGGUGGGAGGUCUGAGCUUUGAGCACGUAGCCUGCUUACAAAUCACCACGACCAAAACUCAGCGUGCGGGAGUUCGCCUCGCACCUUGCAGAUUUCCGUCGCUCCAACGCAGAUGAGGAUGAUGCUGCUGCUGCUGAUGAAGCUCCACUUCUGAGCGACUUCCAGUCCGCUCCGCACAGCCGGAGCAGCGGGAGCAGCAGGAGCCUUCCUCCCUCCUCCUCCUCCCUUUUCUCCUCCCCCGCUGCUAAGUCAAAAGAUUAACAGACCCCCACACUGCAGGGAGGCGACAGCAUUCGCAGAUCCGGAUCCAGAUCGAGCCUCUGCAGGGAAAAAAACCCCAAACCCGGAGCGUAUAGAACCGAGCCGAACCGGGAAGGAAGACAUCUGCGCUGAAAACGAGGGGAAAUGUUAGAACUAUGAUACGAGUUUUUGUUCUUAAUUCCUCAGCAGCUUCAUCGCGGGGCUUCUCGGUGGAGCUUCACCCGGACAGUGACACUUUUAUCGGCUCAUCAUCGACACUGAAGGAGGGAGGGGGGAUCCACUUAUUGGCCACCCGACUGCGCUUCUAAAUCACGCCAGGACGAUUGAGCCCAAGUGCAAUACGAAUGGUUUGGGCAUGGUGCCCACGCCCCAGGUGUGCGUAUCAACCCUGGUCACGGUGAGCACGAUGGCGGUGGUGGACCUCUAUCUGCUGGAGCAGAGCAUGCUGGGAGCUCGCGGCAUGUCUGGACCCAGCGUGUGGCAGUACGUGACGGUGCUGUUGGGAGACGCCUGCUUCCUGCUCGCCCUGCGCUUCGUCUCGGCCGGCGUGGUUUCCGAGGCGCAGUCGUCGCGCCGCGGUUUCGCCAACGCCUUGUGGUUCCUCUUCCUGUCGCUGCUGCAGCUGAAGCUCUUCUUCGUCUGCCACAACUACAGGCAGGAGCGGCGGCCGCCCGACCCGCUGGCCAGGAAGACGCUGACGCUGCUGCUGUCCAUCUGCCUGCCCUCCCUGUUCCUCAUCCUCACCGGCGCUGAUCAUAUGACUCCUCAGCGCAGGAAGCAGGAAGUCCGGAGCCGGCUCCUGUGGGUCGUCGUCGACCUCCUGGACGUUCUGGACCUGCAGGCGGGGCUUUGGGAAGCCCAGGGCGGGUCUGGAGGCGUGGUUGAGCAGAGGCUGCCGAUCUGGGCGGAAGGCCUGGUCUUCUUCUACUGCUACGCGCUUUUGCUGCUGCUGCCGUGCGUGGCGCUAACGGAGCUGGGCGCCACCGGGCUGCCCGGGCAGAGGGGCCCCCGCCGGGAGGCUCUGUACCCCUGGCUCAGCUUGGUCACCAUCAACAUUUUCACCCUGGCUCUUCGGGGAACCGGCAUGCUGUGGUACAGAGACUCCCGCGUGUCGACUGUGUUUCUAGGGAAAAACUUAUUGGCGCUGGCCGUGAAGCUCAGCUCAGCAUGGGAGAGACACAAGCAGGAGCGCGGCGCUUCAGGAGCCGGAACCGCGCCUGGAUCGGAACCAGAAGCUUCCACCGCGCCGCCGAGCCAGAACUCAGAGCAGGACGAGGGCCAGGCUCAGGGGAAAGCUCCUCCUGCUCAUUUCCACACACUAACACGCUCACAAAGCCACACUCUGUCCCACGUCAGCCUGGAGCCGACGGCGACCCCUCUGGGCCCGUCUUUUAUCUCCCAUGAACUGUAGAGAAUCACACCCAACAUGCAUGCAUGCAAAUACUGUAUGUGCGCACACAGAGACGUUACAAACCCUCCAGCAGACCAGAGCCGGCGUCGCCUCCCAGCAGAUAACAGCGGCGGGCAAAACGUGAAGCUGUGGAAAUGCAUUUGGCACGCUCGUCUGUUCGUGCAUUACAUCGCGCUGGGAGCAACUUGAAAUGCAUUGUUGUGAUUUGUGGGAGUGCAUUUUUAGAGUCAACACUGUGAACAGCACUGCCAGACUGUAAAGCGUAUUGUAGAGAUGUUGAAGCCUAGAGUGAUGGAGCCUUUCAUCUGUAAAUGUAUCGAGACGUUGGGCGUCACAGGGUUGACAUCUGCUGCUGUACGGUUAAGUGCCUUGUUUCCUCAUGGAGCGACGAGAGGCACACCCGUUCGGUGCACCAUGUGGAACUGGGUCAAAAACUGUGAGCCGGGUUCUGAUGCACAUUCAGAGUGAAAACUAGUAAACAAAGUGUCUCAUAUCCACCGGAUGCUGACACUUCAUUUGGGUUUGUGAUGAAUAAAUACUGGGUUUAAAGCUAAAGCUGCGUUACAGAUUUGUUCUGAUUUUGUUAACGAAUCAUUAAAAACAUUGGCAAAUCAUCAAUUAUCUGAUUAAUCACAUUUUUCAAACAGCUUUGGUAGGGCUGGAGACAUUCACUGAGCACAUUGUCUGUAGAGGCUUUGUCCCUGAUGUAUCUAUGGAUCUUAGUUGUUUCGUCCUGGACAGUGGUUCUCACACUCACUAGCCCUCUGCCUCCUUCCUUGCGGCUCGUGUUCAGCCUCAGGGUGCUGGUUUUGGGGUGGAACCCUCCAUGCAUUGUUAGUAGUUUUCUAGUCUUAAUAUCUGGAAUAUCUUUUAGUCUGUAGCUUGGAAACAAAUAUCAACAUCCAACAGAACAAAACUGAUCCAUCCUAUUUUAUUUGCUUUAGAUCACUUUUAUUUCAAAAUGAUUUCUAACUGCGAGCCAAAACUAAACACGAAGAGAAUUCAUUCAACUUCUAUGCACCACAAAUCUGGAACAAACUUCCAGAAAACUGAAAAACAGCGGAAACGCUGAGUUCCAUUAAAGAAAGGCUAAAACCACCUGUUUAGUGUUGCUUUUGAACCAUAAUUAAUGAAACAUUGAUCAACAUAUUUGAUGUUUAUUGAUGAUUUUAAUGAUGGCACUCGACAAAAUGUAAUGUUUGGCAACUGAUUUUCUCAAUUGUUGCUUUUAUUCACUAUUUUUUUAUGAUGUAAAGCACUUCGAACUGCCUUGUUGCGGAAAUGUAUUGAUUUAUUGAUAAACUCCACAAUAAUGACAGAAAAUAUGCCAGAAGGUUACAUACAUGUAUGAUUCAGGUCAA